ensembl:lncRNA
CGCAGCUAAACUGCGUAAUGACAGAGCUCGAGCCCAUUCAUUACAGGCGAGAGGCGCGAGACCUUGGUCAGGAUGCGCGCGAGGGGGUCAUGAUCCGCGUAAAUAAAAACGCCAUUUAAACUUUCUUUUUGAAAAUAAUAAUAAAAAAAGACAAAAAAAAGCGCGCACCGUUUGUUUGGAGCAGGUGGAUGAUUGUACACGGUUGACUGACCACGAUGAACAGAGAGAAAGAGUGAGAGAGAUGCGCUCGCGGAAAGAGCAUUCAAGUCGCGCGAGCUUCCUCAGUGCGUUUGCUAAUUAGCGCGAGGACACUGCUCUGUUUCGCGCGGGCACCCCGCCGACCUGACAGGAAAGAAAAAGCUAAGCUAAUCUAACUUACCACACGAUAAAUCACUCUGUUUUCUUUUCAGAAGACACUGACUGACAGCUCCAAACAUUUCCCCCCCUUUUUUUACUUUCCCUCCCACAGUUUCACUUGUUCAUAUAUAUAUAUAUAUAUUAAAAUCUGUUUGUAAAGACAUUUCUUCUUCUUUGUGAGACAGUAAAUCACCCAUUAGCUUGACUGACAGCUACUAGUUUAUUAGAACACAGCUCGUCUUUUAAAAAAAACAACCUUUUUUUAUCUGUUUAUUUCGUAUCAAAAUAUAGAAAUAGCCUAAAUUUUAAAAUGUACAUCAGAAACAUUUGAUCAGUUUGUUCUGUAAGUGAAGUGAGGUAAGUGGCUGAGGUAAGUUUAUAGUUUAGAGUCGUCCAAAUCCAUUCCCAGCCUUACAGUAAUACAUUUAUCUCACUAAUUAAGUUUUCAUUGUUGAAUUAGUACAUAUGAUGUCGAAUUACAGUGUUUAAUCGACUUCUAAACAGUGAUUAUUGAGUCAGUCAUUAGGUGCUGUACUGUAGGUGUUCACGUUAAUUCAGUAUAUUUACAUUUCUGCACAUAUUUCCGUAAAACAAAUAUGUCUAACACCAAAUAACAGCUGAUGUAUUUCCUAUUCUGGUUACAGGAAGUAACAUCAGAAGACCUGAAACACUGAAAGUUGAAGUUUGAGGAGUGGGAGCCAGCAGCGGUGGAACCCUGCCGGCACGGAGAGCGACCUCGGAACAAUACAGCAGCGUUGAGAGCAGAUGGGAGUAUCUGGUGUGACCCCCUUGUGCAGUAAUAGCUGCAGAUAACCGUCUGGGGUAACUCUUGAUCAGUCCUGCACAUCGGCUUGGAGGAGUUUUAUCCCGUUCCUCAGUACAGAACAGCUUCAACUCUGGGAUGUUGGUG